GAUGAACGCUGGCGGCGUGCCUAAUACAUGCAAGUCGAGCGAACGGACGAGAAGCUUGCUUUUCUGAUGUUAGCGGCGGACGGGUGAGUAACACGUGGAUAACCUACCUAUAAGACUGGGAUAACUUCGGGAAACCGGAGCUAAUACCGGAUAAUAUUUUGAACCGCAUGGUUCAAAAGUGAAAGACGGUCUUGCUGUCACUUAAAGAUGGAUCCGCGCUGCAUUAGCUAGUUGGUAAGGUAACGGCUUACCAAGGCAACGAUGCAUAGCCGACCUGAGAGGGUGAUCGGCCACACUGGAACUGAGACACGGUCCAGACUCCUACGGGAGGCAGCAGUAGGGAAUCUUCCGCAAUGGGCGAAAGCCUGACGGAGCGACGCCGCGUGAGUGAUGAAGGUCUUCGGAUCGUAAAACUCUGUUAUUAGGGAAGAACAUAUGUGUAAGUAACUGUGCACAUCUUGACGGUACCUAAUCAGAAAGCCACGGCUAACUACGUG
rnacentral:rRNA from 1 species